GAUGAAGAACGUAGCGAAAUGCGAUAAGGAAUGUGAAUUGCAGAAUUCAGUGAAUCAUCGAAUCUUUGAACGCACAUUGCGCCCAUUAGUAUUCUAGUGGGCAUGCCUGUUCGAGCGUCAUUAAUUCCACUUAAGCCCUGCUUAGUGUUGGGAAUCUACUCUAGUGGUGCUACCCUGGAGCUACCCCUGAAAGGGGGCUGGCCCGGUAGCUACCCUGUAGUUCCUCAAAGAUAGUGCGCGGAGUUGCGUGGUCCUCUGAGCUUAGUAACUAUACACCUAGCUUUUGAGUGUCCCGCGGCGCCUGCCGUUUAAACCCCAUCUUUUAAUGGUUGACCCCGGAUCAGGUAGGAAUAGCCGCUGAACUUAAGCAUAUCAAAAGCGGAGGA
rnacentral:misc_RNA from 1 species